UCUGAGCCGCGGGCUGGGCAUGAGACCACGCCCCCUUGUAGAACCACGCCCCUACACAAACAGGCCACGCCUCCGCAGGCGCUCACUGGCUCAGCAAAUGAGACUCGAGAGGAUAAAGCAAAGAGACACGCCCCCGCGAGGCACCAAGAGGCACAUGGACCCCUCCGGGCCGGUCUCAGUUUACCCACUGAGUAGACAGGGUGCCACUGGGACCCCCGUGACAAAUGCACCCCAACAUUUGGCUUGGGACGAUCUUUGGGUGUCAUGAGUCCUGUGAAGAAGCCCUUCGGUGGGUGUCGCUGGGGUAAGCGGGACACUCCGAUGGACUCGCUCCUUGGGGCCGGGCUCGGCCAGCUGCCUGGCAGGAGGACGCAGCUGCUGGAGAGAUGGCUCAGAAGUUAAGAGCACUGAUUGCUCUUCCAGAGGACCUGAGUUCAAUUCCCAGCAACCACAUGGUGGCUCCCAACCAUCCGUUAUGAGAUCUGGUGCCCCUUUCUGGUGUGUAGGUAUACAUGGAAGCAGAAUGUUGUAUACAUAAUAAAUAAAAUCUUUUAAAAAUUUAUUUUAA
rnacentral:lncRNA from 1 species